rnacentral:misc_RNA from 1 species
UCUCAAACCCAUUGUCGAAUCUCCUGACCAGUCAAGUAUAUUCCUAAUCUCUGUUGACAAACGAAAUGAACUGACACUAGAUCUUUUCUUACCAGUUUUAUUGCCGAUCUCCCUUUCAAAAGUUUAAGAGCUAAGGUUUUGGUCCGGUUUAAUGAGGAUUCCGAUCUUAAGUGUUCAAGUCAAAUUUCUAAUUUUAAUCAAGUCCCAUUUAGCGUUAGUUCCCAGCCGAUCUCAUGCUUAUUGUGUUU